rnacentral:lncRNA from 1 species
GUAAUGUAGGGUGGUUGGCCAAGCCAUAUAAAUAGGCCUUUCAAAUGUUUUCCUAAUUUAAUUAGAACACUAAAACUAAAACUAAAAAAAAAAACUCCUAAUUAUUUUAAUAUGGAAAUUCGGCCAAGGGUCUUUUAUUUGGGACUCUUGGAUAAACAUUUAAACUAAGAAAAAUAAAUAAAUAAAUAAAAAUAAAACUUUACAACUUGGGCCACUUUGACAAUUUGGCCUGAUUUUCAACUAAGUAUGGGUGGAUUUCUUGAUUGGGCUUGGAAUCUUCUUAUUGGGCCUUGCCCUCAAGAAUUUGGGCUUUUGUGACUCGUAUCAUUCCCCCCUUCCUCAAAAAGAUUCGUCCUCGAAUCUGAAAAAUCAAAUGAACUCGACUUUCCUCUAUCGAACGGGACUAAUGGCAAUUGAGUCCACUGAAAAGAAUAGCCAUGAGAUAGUAAAUAGCAACGGAAACAAGCUUGUAGUCCAAUCAUAAGCAUAACAGAACAGGUAUAACGCAUGUGAAUGGACAGAUUCAGAUUACCAUGCAAACAAUCUAAUUUACUCACCACUGCCUCGUCAAAUAUUUGAAACAAAGAUGGACAUGUUUUAAGGCAUUCAGUCGUCUCACAUUGUUCCCACAAACCAUGAAUAAAUUGCGAGUAAUAAAUCAAAUGGUAAACAUAAUCGUCACAAGUAGGUAUUUGAAAAGAUUUACAUGGUUCACAGAGUUGCAUAAUCAUACCAUGCAUUAAUCGACGGUCUAUAGAUUCACUCACACAUGCAUUAUCAAAAACAAGAAUCUUUUUAUCAACCAUCAAAACAGAUAGAUCAUCAAUAAAUAAAAUAGGAUAGUCAAGCACGUUUCGAUCUAAGUGUUCAUCAACACGAUCUUUAUCACUAUCCGAGGAGUACAAAAGUGUUUCAAAGGUUUCAAGCAUCUUACCUCGAUAAGGAAAAGAAUAAGGGUCGAUUUUACCUUUUUCAUUUAAAACAAACCUUCGUUCAUCGGGGGCAUAGUGUAGUCGAAUCUCCGUUGUUGAGUUAACCUUUGUCAAAUGGAACUCAAACUUCAUGUACAACCACAUAAACUGUUUAAGGCAAGAAUAUAAAUUGAAAACAAAUUUGGCAAAUUUCGUUACCUUAUUCUCCAAAACAGAUUUGGACAAAUUCAAGGAUUUUACACAAGGUAAAUCAAGAGAAUAACAAAUCACGCUUCUUUUCGUAAUGACUUUAUCAACCACAAUCGAAGAGUAACAAUUAAUCGGAUCAAAAUGAUGGGAUCUUUUAAGAACUAAGUCACCAAAAGUUUUAUCAAUAAUUUUCAAAUCUGCACUGGACUCGGUUUCUAAAAUUUCCUUACCUCGCUUACCUUCGGGAUCAUGUAGUGUGAUUUCAUCUUUGCUUAAGUUGAUCGUAUGAAAGCAUCUUUCAUUUGAGAGGUAUUGAAGUUGAAAGUUAUCUUUCGAUCUUUCGGGAACCUGAAAAGUAGCAACACAAGAAAAAUUCAUAUCUUGGUUAGUGGAAACAUUCCUCACUAGCCUUUCCUCGUCUUUUUCUUUUGUUUCUUUUUCUAACUCAUUUUCUCUUCUUUCUUCAACUUCUUUUUCAAUUUUCUUUUCUGUUUCACAUUCCUUUUCACUCUCAAUCUCUUUUUGCUCUUUUUCAUUCUCUUUUUCUUUUUCCUCACUUGUUUUAACAGAAUUUCUCAGUUUGAUUUGGUCCUCAUGGACUUGUUCCGGAGUGAGCGGCACUAAGGUAAGUUUCUUUCCUUGAUGCUUGAAAGAAUACCUAUUGGUACGACCAUCGUGAGUGACUUUUCGAUCCAGUUGCCAUGGUUCUCCUAGCAACAAAUGGCAGGCUUGAAUAGGCAUUACGUCGCACACAACUUCGUCUUGAUACUUACCGAUAGAAAAGGCAAUGUGCACUUGUUGAGUGACCCUAAAUUGGCCUUCGUUGCUAAGCCCUUGUAGUUGAUAAGGUUGUGGAUGCUUGGUAGUGGUUAAGCAAAGCUUUUCCACCAUCGUCGUGCUGGCUAUGUUCGAGCAACUUUCACCAUCAAUAAUAACUCUACAAAGCUUACCUUGUACAUGGCAGCGAGUAUGAAAGAGAUGUUCUCGUUGCUGCUCGCUCCUUGGUUUUGCCAAAGAUGAUUGUCCACGAUCAUGAAAAUCAUCAUCCAUUCUAGUGACACGUCGAGGGCCGCGCCUUUGGGGUUGGUUAUCCCUAUCUUCCUUAAUUGGAUCUCGAUAUUGAUGUUUUUGAUUCACUCGUACCUCAUUCAAAGUAGUAUUCAAUGCUUGAAGUGUAGCAUUUAUUUGUGUGAUUGCAGCAGUAUGUCCAUCUAACUGUUGUUGGACUUUCAUAAGUGCAUCAUUAUUAUCACCUUUAGACAUCUUCAAAACCUGUAAAAAAUAAACACUCAACACUCAAAAAUAAAAGUUAGCAAACCUCACCAUUAAUCACUCAAAAAGAAAAUUCAAAUUCUCAAUGAGGUCGAAUUCAAUCUUGUGAGUUCUUUAUCAGAGUUUAUAUCAACCAAUUAGAGAGUGUGAACCAAACCACCAAAGAAUCCUAAUUUGCACUAGGAUGCCAAAAACUGACGAGACACCAAUUGAUUCGUGUUGCACCGAGGAAGAAGUUGUGCACACGUUUAAAUCCUACUAACACAAGAAACAAGAAGGUGUUAGAUAACGUAAAGGAAGAAUAAAGGUAAACAAAUGAAAACCUACAGCUAAGAAUCAAUAAAAAUUGCUGAAAACAGAAAACCCGAAAAACUGCGGAGUAACUUGACAACUUCGUUCGAGGUGUUCCCGAUCUCCAAAAAUCACGAAAUUAAAUCUGGAGUGUCCUUAUAUAUUUAAUUUUUGAUCUGGAAAAUUUGGGCACCAAAUUCAACCCGCUGAAUAUUUUUUAAUUUUUUAUUGGAUUUCGUCUUUUUUCAAUUUUUUGACUUUUUCGACUUAUUUUUUUGCGGGAAAUAUUUUUGUAUAUUCAAUAACAGUGCCAAAAAUAUGUAUGUAAAAUUUCAGAUCAAUCAGAAAACGUUUACCCACUCAAAUGAAUUUUUUUCGAAAAUAUUUCUGGGUAAAACUGCUGUUUGUAAUUUAAAAAAUAGAGAUCAGUUUAGAAAUCAACCAAGAACACCCAAAACGCCCAAAAUCUGAUACCAAAUGAUACAGGGUUGCGCGCGGACCAAGAUCGAGUUGCCAAGUCACGAGAAACUCCUACGAAAACCCUAAACAAUUAGAUCUGAAACGAAACAGAAAAUUAAAAGAUUAGAUUUUUGAAUUUUCAGAUCUGAAAUAAAAUCCCCAAAACAGUAAAGAAUCAAAUAGAGAAUAGAAAUAAGUGUUAAUAAGGAAUCUUGAAACCCUAGAAGAGAUUGCGAUUCUGCCCAAUUGAACACCCAGAUAGUUUUCCCCAAAUUUCGGCAAUCUAAUUUCUCCCAAAAAGAGUAUGGAUGAAUCGGCAAGAACCCUAGAAAUUGGGGAUUUUUGGGCUAAUUCCUUAAGAUAGAAAAAGGCUGAAAACACAAUAAGAACAGAAAAUAAAUUAGAUAAAGAUUCGGCACAAGCAGAAAUAAAGAAAGAAUUGACAGUAAGAAAUUAAAAGAUAAGUCCUAAGAAGCCUUGAAAUCCCGAAAGAUCUCACAACUCCUUUCAAACGGCUCUAAUCUCCCCUCCAAAGAAUAUCAAUGGCAAGAAGAAGGUUGAAGAUGGCUCCCACAAUCAAAAAGAUUGUUAAAACAACUUCUAAAGAAAACUCAAGAGAAAAUCCUUGAAGAACUCAAAGAGAAUUUUCACUCAAAUCAAAUCUGAAAUUUUUAAUGUAAUUGUAAUGUAAUGUAGGGUGGUUGGCCAAGCCAUAUAAAUAGGCCUUUCAAAUGUUUUCCUAAUUUAAUUAGAACACUAAAACUAAAACUAAAAAAAAAAACUCCUAAUUAUUUUAAUAUGGAAAUUCGGCCAAGGGUCUUUUAUUUGGGACUCUUGGAUAAACAUUUAAACUAAGAAAAAUAAAUAAAUAAAUAAAAAUAAAACUUUACAACUUGGGCCACUUUGACAAUUUGGCCUGAUUUUCAACUAAGUAUGGGUGGAUUUCUUGAUUGGGCUUGGAAUCUUCUUAUUGGGCCUUGCCCUCAAGAAUUUGGGCUUUUGUGACUCGUAUCA